rnacentral:rRNA from 2 species
UUUAUGGAGAGUUUGAUCCUGGCUCAGGAUGAACGCUGGCGGCGUGCCUAAUACAUGCAAGUCGAGCGAACGGACGAGAAGCUUGCUUCUCUGAUGUUAGCGGCG